rnacentral:lncRNA from 1 species
CUUUGAUUUCUUUCAUUGGUUAUGAAUUCAUUUUUUAUUUUUGAAGCUGGUUUUUUAGACUCUGAAGUGUCAAAUAUGGAUUCCUGGUCUGCAAGAAAGAAAAAUUCCAAGGCUAACAAGAAAAUCAAGUCCUUGAGUUGCAGGUCUUCUGAAGAUUCCUGCCUGAUGUCUAUAGUGUUGGGGGUUUUUGUUUGUUUGUUUUUAACUUCUUUACAGACCUGCUUAUAAUAUUCAGAAAUGACAAUCACUCUUGAGCAGUGUGUAUUGCCUAGCACUUUAAUCUGGGAAGUUUUUGUUGUUGUUGUUGUUUGUUUGCUUAAAGAGAGGCUAAAUUUAAAGAUAAAUUUACUGAUUUUAGAAACAGAUAUUUCUUUUCCUUGCCUUAAUUAUUAUUUUCCCUAUGGACCUGAGAAAGUAUGUAACAAACCUUAAAUUAUAUCCACUCAGUAAUCCACCAAUGAUUUUGUCAACUAAUAAUGAUAGAAGAAAAUCUGAAAUAAUCUUUUCCUCCUUCCUUCAAUCAAAUUUUGACAUUCAACUUUUUUAAAACCCUGCCAGCAUUAACAAGUAAAGUUAUAGAGACACCUGUCUAUAGAAACACUCUAACUACACUUAUAUAUAGUUCUAUAUGCUUUCUCUUACUUGAUCCAGAAAAAGUAAUCCUUUGAAGUUGAUAGGACAAAUGUCAUCAUAUUCAUUUAAUAGACAAGCAAAUUGAGGCUCAGAGAUAUAAAGUUACUUCCUUUUUUCCUGUUGAAGUGAAAUAAAGUGAGUAUUCCUUGCCA